rnacentral:rRNA from 1 species
AGCGAACGCUGGCGGCAGGCCUAACACAUGCAAGUCGAACGAACCUUUCGGGGUUAGUGGCGGACGGGUGAGUAACACGUGGGAACGUGCCUUUAGGUUCGGAAUAACUCAGGGAAACUUGUGCUAAUACCGAAUGUGCCCUUCGGGGGAAAGAUUAAUCGCCUUUAGAGGGGCCCGCGUCUGAUUAGCUAGUUGGUUGAGGUAAUGGCUCACCAAGGCGACGAUCAGUAGCUGGUCGGAGAGGAUGAUCAGCCACAUUGGGACGGAGACACGGCCCAGACUCGUACGGGGGGAAGCAGGGGGGAAUAGUGGACGAUGGGCGAAAGCCUGAUCCAGCAAUGCCGCGUGAGUGAUGAAGGCCGGAGGGUGGUAAAGCGCUUGUACCGGGGAUGAUAAGGACAGUACCGGGAGAAUAAGCUCCGGCUAACUCCGUG